CUUGUACUCCCUCCGUCCGAGAAUACUUGUCAUCAAAAUGGAUAAAAAAAGAUGUAUCUAAAACUAAAAUACAUCUAGAUACAUUCUCUUUUAUUCAUAUUGAUGACAAGUAUUUCUGGACGGAGGGAGUAUCAA
rnacentral:pre_miRNA from 1 species